rnacentral:rRNA from 1 species
ACNCGCCGUUCAGCGGGAUAACCCGGAGAAAUCCGGCCUAAUACCGCAUGUGGCCGAGGGGAGGCAUCUUCUUUCGGCCAAAGGAGGCGACUCCGGAGACGGAUGGGCAUGCGUGACAUUAGCUAGUUGGCGGGGUAACGGCCCACCAAGGCGACGAUGUCUAGGGGUUCUGAGAGGAAGGUCCCCCACACUGGUACUGAGACACGGACCAGACUCCUACGGGAGGCAGCAG